CCCAGGGACGCUUCUGGAACAGCUCAUAAUGCCCACAGCCGGGCCCGACCGGGCUGUGAAAUGGGAUCUCUUCCCAGCAUCGGGUCUGUGAGCAGAGCCCUCCCCUGAGACCAGGGACCCUCUGAGGAGACUUGCCGGGACUGAGAGCCCUUGUCUGCACCUUGGGUUUUCAGAUGUACUCAAAGCUACUGAAAUUUUCUGAGAUACCUGUGACAGGAGAAGGCACUCCCAGGGAACUGAAAAGUGGUAUGUCUGCUUCAUGUGACAGCAGCAGCCCUGCGUUUGGCAGCAAAAAAGCAGUGCAGAUGGCAGCAGGAGUAAAGGUACCUGUAGCUGAAUGAUGUGCUAUUUGACUGCCACUUCAGGGAGCACAGACAAAGGAGAAGUUGAAUGUCUGCAUAUAGGAACUGGAUCUGGGAGGUGGAAUUGUUUCUGUAACUUGAAUCACAGCACAAAGAAAAGCACAUAAGCUUUUGGGAAGAGAAGCUCUGAAACAGCGGUAGAGUGUCAUAGCGGCAUUGAGCACAGGACAUCAUGCUCCACUUCACAUGCAUGUGGCUGCUCUACAGGAGGAUGUUUGCAGCCCCAUCAUUGAAGAUACAUUACUGUGUGUGAUCCCCUGUGAAGUGUGUAACAAUUUUGUAAAUUAAAAAAAAAAAGGCAGCUGUUUAUUUUUCAGUGCUUGAACUUUCUGACAAUACUUUCUUUUUCCUUCCAAGCAAAGCUGACAUUUUUCCAUCUCUCUGCUGUGCUCAGCUAGAGUUGCUUAACCAUUCAUGAGUUACGGGUGGGAAUAUUUGUACUUUAAAAAAUGCAGAGCCCCCCUGCCUCUGCACGUUUACAGCUUUCCAAGAUAGUUUUGUUGACAUAUGAUAUAUACCAUUUGCUCUGUUCAUGGACCUUAACAGCAAGUGUGUUUUUUUGUUGUGUUUUUGUUUUUGUUUUUGUUUUUUUUUUUAACAAAACAUGCCUGUAAAUGUACAAGUAGUGCAUAUUUGAAAAUAGAUCCCUUUCUUAGGAAGA